AACGAACGCUGGCGGCAUGCCUAACACAUGCAAGUCGAACGAGACCUUCGGGUCUAGUGGCGCACGGGGGCGUAACGCGUGGGAACCUGCCCGUAGGUUCGGAAUAACUCCCCGAAAGGGGUGCUAAUACCGGAGAAUGUCUUCGGACCAAAGAUUUAUCGCCUUUGGAUGGGCCCGCGUUGGAUUAGCUAGUUGGUAGGGUAAAAGCCUACCAAGGCGACGAUCCAUAGCUGGUCGGAGAGGAUGAUCAGCCACGCUGGGACUGCGACACGGCCCAGACUCCUACGGGAGGCAGCAGUGGGGAAUAUUGGACACUGGGCGAAAGCCUGAUCCAGCCAUGCCGCGUGAGUGAUGAAGGCCUUAGGGUUGUAAAGCUCUUUUACCCGGGAUGUUAAUGACAGUACCGGGAGAAUAAGCUCCGGCUAACUCCGUG
rnacentral:rRNA from 1 species